ensembl:misc_RNA Metazoa_SRP Metazoan signal recognition particle RNA
GCCAGACAUGGUGGCAUGUGCCUAUAGUCCCAGCUACUCGGGAGGCUGACGUAGGGGGAUUGCUUGAGCUCAGGAGUUCUGGGCUGCAGUGCGCUAUGCCAACUGGGUGUCUGCACUAACUUCAGCAUCAAUAUGGUGACCUCCUGGGAGUGGGGGGCCACCAGGUUGCCUAAGGUGGGCUUAACUGGCCCAGGUCGAAAAUGAAGCAGGCCAAAAGUCCCAUGCUGAUUAGAUCUGUUUCUAACAUUUCCAUAUACUUGUGCAUAUAAAUGUUUUAUAUUUU